ACUUUUUAAAGUCCAAAAGUGACAGAAGGGACUCAAAAUGGAGAAAAUUAGCGGCAUCUCAUCACAACAGCGGAAAUUAGAAAAGCGUUCCAGCAAAAAUUCAACGAAUCUGUGGAAAUAAUAGAGCGAAUAACCAAAAGAUAUUUCCAUUAUGCUGGAGACAGGAUCUCAAAACGGAAUAAAAGAAAUGUUUCACAGUCGUCUGCAUAAAUAUACUAUCUGUCAUAUUG